rnacentral:snRNA from 1 species
AUCUCUUCUCGGCCUUUUGGCUAAGAUCAAGUGUAGUAAACUGGUGCAUCUACUAUGGAAAACUGGAGAUUUCUCAAAAAAUUAAAAAUAGAACUACCAUAUGAUUCAGUAAUUCUACUUCUGGAUAAUUACCAGAAGAACAAAA